UACGUAGGGUGCGAGCGUUAAUCGGAAUUACUGGGCGUAAAGCGUGCGCAGGCGGCGCGUUAAGACAGGUGUGAAAGCCCCGAGCUUAACUUGGGAAUUGCGCUUGUGACUGGCGUGCUGGAGUGUGGCAGAGGGAGGUGGAAUUCCACGUGUAGCAGUGAAAUGCGUAGAGAUGUGGAGGAAUACCGAUGGCGAAGGCAGCCUCCUGGGCCAACACUGACGCUCAUGCACGAAAGCGUGGGGAGCAAACAGG
rnacentral:rRNA from 1 species